GACGAACGCUGGCGGCGUGCCUAAUACAUGCAAGUAGAACGCAGUUGCGAACGGGUGAUUAACGCGUAGUUAACCUGCCUCAUAGCGGGGGAUAACUAUUGAAAACGAUAGCUACUAUCGCAUACUGUGAGAUGGACCUGCGUUGUAUUAGCUAGUUGGUGAGGUAAAGGCUCACCAAGGCGACGAUCCAUAGCCGCCCUGAGAGGGGGAUCGGCCACACUGUGAGUUGUGCACGGGAGAGAGUCAUACUGGAGGUGGCACAAGGGAAAGUGCGGCAAUGGGCUGAAGUUUAACCGAGUGACGGCGAGGGAGUGAAGAAGGUUUUCGAAUUAUAAAGCCAUGUUGUUAGAGAAGCGUAAGCUAUCCAGAAAGGCACGGCUAAUUACGUGCCAGCAGCCGCGGUAAUAC
rnacentral:rRNA from 1 species